ensembl:lncRNA
UGUUAACUCUGGAGUGCCCCCUACAGCGUUGGAAUAACAGGGCAUCCAAUUGAUACUAUCAAUUUAAAACAUAAUAGCAACGUCUAUUAUCGUCAUUUCUAUUAAACCGUGGUUACCGAAACUCAGACAUUCGUCACUUGUCCCUGAGAGAGACAAGAAGAGAUAAGAUGCGAUAAUGUUCUCAGCACGAAUAUGAGUACACGGAGCGAGAAGUGUGAUGUGGCCAGCCAUCCGCCGACGGAGACUCCGCUCACUCACCUGUACACAACGACAACACAGAAAUCUGCAUCCACUCAGAUGUGUGAGAGUGCUGAAUUCCUCAGCUGUGUAAACACCUGUUGGAGCGAGAGUACAGUCUGUGAGAUGAAGAAACUGCUGAAACAUUUCGUGGUGCUCCAGACCCAUGGCCACCAGGGAAUCGUACCAGAGACCACCACGCUGGAGGACAUGAGUUCCUGGCUCAUAUCUCGCACAUGCCCGAACCGUCAGAUGCCCAAAUUGUUCCCACUGACGGAAUCAUGGAGGACUGGUGAAACUAACCAGUUGAAGUGGUGUGUGUACGCCAACCUCAUGCAGCGAACACUGGAGCUCCAGGCAUCUAAGGAGGUUCCGGUCAACCUCAAUCAGGCCCAUAAACCCAUGGCUUCUGGAGGCCUCUCCUCUCGUUGUGAAGAGGUCCAUUUGGAGGUGGUCAGAGGUCUGAGGCAGGUGUCGCCCUCAGUGACCUUUGACCCCUCUGCCUCCUUGCACAGUCCCGCCGAAGUUCUGGUGGACCUGGUUCCCAGGCUGCUGCUGAACCUGCAGGCCCAGCACAGGAAAGCCCUCCCGAGGGACCAGCGAGGCUGGCUGGCCCUGACCGACGUGGUCCUCAGUGCCAUGCUGGAAGUCCUUGACAACCUGGCCUCUGCUCUGGACAACCUGGAGACCCUCAAGGUCUACUACUCCCCCGCCACAGGGGUCCGUCUGGUGCACUCCGUCCAGAGGCUGAUGGUGAAGCUCAGGGCUCUGAUGAACGCAGUCUGACCGGCAGGAUGGUGGACGCCCUGACCGUGAAGGUCCAGAAGAUGUUCCAGCAGCGCCAGGAUGUCAUCCUCACUGAGGCUGUCUUGGACGACCUGUCUGACGCCAAGGAAACAGUGCCUGAGAGGGCACUGUAUCCACCAGGGCCAAGCAGCCAACAGCUGAUUCUUCACGCUGAAGAACUCAGGACUCUGGUGGGCCUGGCGUUGGUCCAGAUAUUCGACGGGCGCGUCGAGGCUCAGCUGGACGUGUCGGACUGGCCCAUCUUCGACGAGCUUGAGAACCUGCUCUCGCACUACAACAUGAGAACCUCGAAGAAGAUGGAGAAGGUCAACUGGAGGCUCAGCCUGGAGUCCAUCGUGAGGAUGUCCACGGAGCUCCACAACAGUCUCCACAGCGCCUUCGGGUCCAAGCUGAACCUUCAGAUGGCCGUGAAGCACAGGGUCAAGGUGCUGACCCGUUCUAUGAACUACAGGGUGGUGGACCUGAUACUGCAGUUGCAGGAUCGUCACCUGGCUGAGAGCAUGGCUGAGGAGAGCAGUGGCCAGUUCGCCAUGAAAGUACCUGUGGUGGAGGAGAUCCCUACUUCCCCUAGCUGCUUCUCUGCUCUCUGGAAGGUCCUGAGGUCUAGUUUCACCAAGAGGCAGAAGAGAGUCAGCGCUGGACCGGGUGUUCGAUGCCGACCCUGAAGCGCCAAAGCACUCAGCGCCACCAAGAGAUGACGUCAGCGCUGAGCCUGGGUGUUCGAUGCCGGCCGGGAAACCAACCCUGCGCUGAGCUCCACCGACAGGCCAGGCUUUUGUACAUAUUUGUAUAUAAUAGUCAAAUAUAACCUUAAUAGCAACAUUAAGGUUAUACAGCUUUUUUUUAAAUAACUUAAGCACAUCGUAUUUUAAGCAAGUGUGUGAGUUUUUAAAUAUUAAGUUUAAGCUUGUAUUAAGUUAGUAAACGUACAAGUUAAAGGGACACUGUGUAGAAAUUACUCCCAUCUAGUGGUAAAAUUGUAUAUUGCAUUCAAACUAAUAGUGCUCGCUUGUUCAGAAACUACGGUGGGCAGUAUGUGCCAAGAAGCUGUGUCAUGACAUCCAAUACUACCUCAUCGAGUCAUUCGAGUGAUGGUUGGUUCACUCGAACAAAUUUCAAACUUCAUUGAAUCAUUAGUGCAAGCUAAUGAUGUAUGAGUAAUUAUUCCUCGAGCAAGAUAGUGAAUUAUUUCAUUCGUCAUUCACGCUGGCUCAGAGUGAAAACGCGUUUGCAUUUCCUGUACCACGUAGUGCUUUUUGUCCCUCUCGGCAGUUCAUAGACCGGAAGAACAUGGAAGCCUCCAUGAAGCUUACCCGUCCUAUGUAACUACAUAUUAAUUAUUCUUCGCUCAGGAGGAUAAGUGUGAUUUUUGGCAGAGAUAAUUUUACACCAAUGAGGACUUAUUUAUGAAUGAAUACGUUGAUUUGAGGUUGACAGAAGGGGACGCAGGCGAAGACAGAGGGAGAUGAAGACAGAUGGAGACGGAAGCCAGCCAGCUCCAUCUACAGGCCAGGCUGUUGUACAAAGUUGUAUAAAGUAGAAGUAGAAAACAUACGUUUUAGGAAAGUUUUAGGAAAGAACAUCAUAUUUCAAAUGACCGAGCCUUAUUUUACUGAAGGGGAGAAGAUGGAAGGUGCUGUGGACAGACGGAGAUGAAGACACAGAGAGGCGAGCACGAAGACAGACGAGGAAGAAGACAAUGGGAGACGAAGACACACGUGGAUGAAGGAACAGAGCGAAGAAGGCGAGGAAGAAGAUAGACAGAGACAAAGACUGACAGAGACGAAGACAGACAAAGACGAAGACAGACGGAGAUGAAGACAGACGAAGACGAAGAGUGAGUGAGACAAAGACUGAGAGAGAGGAAGACAGACGAAGACGAAGACAGAGAGAGACGAAGACAGUUGGGGAGUGAUGAAGAAGGCAUAGCAAGAUGACCUGACUCUGUUCCUUCUCUCUACCUCUAUAAGGCUCAGAAGAGGGGGAGCAGUGUAGAGGAAGAGGAGUGGAGGGACAUGGUCCAGACCUCCAUACCACAGCUGUACCCCAGCACCUGGUCCUACUACUGCUUCUGACAGAUCAUCCCCACAUCGUUAACUGCCCUUAACACCAUGUCUAACUCAUUCACACCCUACUCUGUUUCCAAUAAAAUAUGAAAUAUGAAAAUGAAAAACGGCUGAGGAAUACAAGUCAUUCAUCUUUGCCAUGCUAGGUGAAUAAUUGAACUUAGUAUAAGGAGUAUAAUCUCUAUCAAAGAGACUAUUUAAAACUGGC